UUCUGGCUAGCUCAGUUUGCAGAGCGCUCCACUGGAAAUGUAGAGGCCCCUCGUUCAAAACUAGGACCAGACG
rnacentral:tRNA from 1 species